GGCGAGAGUCCUCAAGCACUCUUCAGUGUCAGCAACAGAUCCGCUCUUAAGCUGGAGGGAGGUCUUCUGCACCAAGUUCGACCGCAUCUGUGCACAAUUCUGGCAAGAGAUUAAGGCAGGAGCACUGAAAACUGCUUCAGGUGACAGGCAUCUGCUCUCUGAGCACCGACCACACACUUUGGGGACUCCACUUCAUGCCUGGACAUUGCCU